AAACACAAAAAAGCACCCUGAGAACGCCCCAUCCCGUCUGCUCUGGGAAGCUAAGCAGGGUCGGGCCCGGUCAGUGCUUGGAUGGGAGACCAGCUGGGAAUAGCGGGGGCUGUGGGCU
rnacentral:rRNA from 1 species